rnacentral:rRNA from 1 species
UACGUAGGGUCCGAGCGUUGUCCGGAAUUACUGGGCGUAAAGAGCUCGUAGGUGGUUUGUCGCGUUGUUCGUGAAAACUCACAGCUCAACUGUGGGCGUGCGGGCGAUACGGGCAGACUUGAGUACUGCAGGGGAGACUGGAAUUCCUGGUGUAGCGGUGGAAUGCGCAGAUAUCAAGCGGAACACCGGUGGCGAAGGCGGCCUUCUGGACGAUGACUGACGCUGAGGCGCGAAAGCGUGGGGAGCAAACAGG